rnacentral:lncRNA from 1 species
CGGCAAGCAAGCAGCCAUCGCCGCCGCCUCCAUCGCCGCCGCCGGCAAGCAAGCAGCCAUCGCCGCCGCCUCCGUCGCCGCCACCAGCAAGCAAGCAGCCAUCGCCGCCGCCUCCGUCGCCGCCGCCAGCGAACAAGCAGCCCUCUCCGCCGCCACCGUCGCCGGCGCCAGCAAACAAGCAGCCCUCUCCGCCGCCACCGU